rnacentral:rRNA from 1 species
UACGUAGGGUGCGAGCGUUGUCCGGAAUUAUUGGGCGUAAAGAGCUCGUAGGCGGUGUGUCACGUCGGCCGUGAAAACCUGCAGCUUAACUGUGGGCGUGCGGUCGAUACGGGCAGACUUGAGGCAUUCAGGGGAGAACGGAAUUCCUGGUGUAGCGGUGAAAUGCGCAGAUAUCAGGAGGAACACCGGUGGCGAAGGCGGUUCUCUGGGAAUGUCCUGACGCUGAGGAGCGAAAGUGUGGGGAGCGAACAGG